UAAAACAUGCAUGACACGGUUUGCUUUUAUGUGCUUGUUACUAUUGGGAUGCUUUGGAAUCUUCCUUGUGCUUGAUGGUGUGAAAAACACUGUUUUUGUCAGGAUGCUGCACACCGUAACCUCCUCUGAUUUCUGGGUUUUGCAGUCUUGGUCUCAGCCUGUAGCAGCUGUUCAUCUGGCUCAGUGUCACCUCCUUAACCACAGGCAGCACUUGUUGCAUAAUACAAAGGAACUUUUUCCACCUUUGCUGCCUCAGUCCUCACAAUGAGCUGAAGAACUACAUUUUUUGUUUGACCCCACAGUUAAGGACAACUUGAACGACAAGAUCUGCUGUGUUCUAGCAAAUUCAAGCACGUGCUUUGAAAGGGUGAAAACCUGGCGAGGUCACAGAGCAAAAUCUUUCUAGUCUUGGACGCCAGAGAGCUAGAAAGCCCAUUCUCCAAUCUUCACAUUUUAUAUCUUGGGUGAAGGGGAUGAUUUUCACCGACUGUAAUGUUUUAAGCUGACGUGAUGAAGUCUUGCUCUAAAGGAAAACCAGUUAAAAAGCAGACCUCGGAGCAGCAAUACCAGCUUGUCACCCA